ACACUACACAAGCUAUACUGGAGCUCUGUGAAGUACAAAUUUAUGGUUGUCCAGUAGGGAAAUAUGGUGACGGAGAUUGUGAUUCAAACUGUGAUACAACCUGUGUUAAUAGCCUGUGUCAUCCUAACAGCGGUCAGUGUACAUACUGUGCGCCGGGAUUUUAUAAGUCCGGGCUUGUUUGUACAGCUUGUCCGACAAAUUGU